UCGGCCGUGAAUGGCAAGGUGUGUCUGAUUGUUGUGGGGGCACAGGAAAGGAUCUAACUAAAGAUUGUUGACAGCGUGAUUGUCUAAAGACUUUGGCAGCUUGGGUCGUCAAUCUAUUACUCAGCCUUCCCUGAUGAUUCUCAAAGGUUCGGUCUCUAGGCAAACAAAACAGAACAAAAU